CCCUGCCCUUUGUACACACCGCCCGUCGCUACUACCGAUUGAAUGGCUUAGUGAGGUCUUCGGAUUGGCUUUGGAAAGCCGGCAACGGCAUUCUGUUGCUGAAAAGUUGAUCAAACUUGGUCAUUUAGA
rnacentral:rRNA from 1 species